rnacentral:rRNA from 1 species
GACGAACGCUGGCGGCGUGCUUAACACAUGCAAGUCGAGCGGUAAGGCCCUUUCGGGGGUACACGAGCGGCGAACGGGUGAGUAACACGUGGGUGACCUGCCCUCAGCUCUGGGAUAAGCCUGGGAAACCGGGUCUAAUACCGGAUAUGACUCCAUGACGCAUGUUGUGGGGUGGAAAGCCCUGUGCGGCUGAGGAUGGGCCCGCGGCCUAUCAGCUUGUUGGUGGGGUGAUGGCCUACCAAGGCGACGACGGGUAGCCGGCCUGAGAGGGCGACCGGCCACACUGGGACUGAGACACGGCCCAGGCUCCUACGGGAGGCAGCAGUGGGGAAUCUUGCGCAAUGGGCGAAAGCCUGACGCAGCGACGCCGCGUGA